rnacentral:misc_RNA from 1 species
AAGUCGUAACAAGGUUUCCGUAGGUGAACCUGCGGAAGGAUCAUUACCUUUCUGGCUAUUUAAUAGCUUGUCUGGGGGGCUGCAGUUUCUGCCAGCUCUCUGAACUUACAUUGCCGGUGUUUUUUGCGUACCUACAUGUUUCCUCGGCGGGCUUGCUUGCCGGUUGGACAAACUAAAACUCUUUGCAAUUGCAAUCAGCGUCUGAAUUAUAAUAAUAAUUACAA